CUACCUGUGUGUGUAUUAACACGCCGGCCUCCUCGCUACCUGUAUCAACUAUGGCCUGAGUAUGAUAGACUUAUCCAUGGUUUAAACAGAAUAUAUUGUUUUCAACUUUGAAAAUAAGAAUAUGGAAAUCCAGAUGCAGAAAUGUGAGAAGAAAAGAGAGUAAACAGAGUGGAAGGUCAGGUGACCUUGCCUGUCAUGAAUAUGAAGGUCAAGGUGUGUGAAUUGUGAAAUUUCCAAGAGAACCUCACUGAAGCAAAGAAUGAAGAAAGAAUUGCAUUUGGCCCUGGGAGGGUGCAGGGGUGAAUGGUGCAGGAGCUAAAUCUUUAUCAUACCCAGAAAUCAACAGCCACUAUUUGAAAUCAUCUAAAUUCGUGCUGCUAACCUUCAGUGUACACACGAAUCACCUGGGGAUCUUACUAAAAGCUAGUUUCUGAUUCACUAAAUCUGUGUGUGGUGGAAGUUGAGGGCAGAGAAGCUCCCGAGGGUGUCAAGCUGACUCUGAACCCGACUUUGAGGGUUAAGGUCCCAAAUGGCAUCGCCAGCACCAGGGACAGACACUAAAAUUGUAGAAAUCGUCUCAAGAAAUGAACAGCCUCUAAGUCAGAUGUUGAAUGUGAAAGAAAUCAGGGUGUGUACGUGUGUGUGCAUUUGUGUGUGCACGUGUGUGCCUGUGUUUGUCUCUGUGCAUGUAUGUUUCUAUGUGUGCACAUGUGUGUAUGUGUCUGUACAUGUGUGUUUCUGUGUGUGUGCCUGUGUGUGUAUUGGCUUAGAUCUGUUCGAGACUUUUUA
rnacentral:lncRNA from 1 species